CUCGUUUAUCUACUCUGUU
rnacentral:snRNA from 1 species